UGGGACUACCAGGGUAUCUAAUCCUGUUUGAUACCCGCACUUUCGAGCCUCAGCGUCAGUUACACUCCGGAAACCUGCCUUCGCGAUCGGUCGUCUUCAUGAUAUCUAAGCAUUUCACCGCUACACCAUGAAUUCAGGCUUCCCUGCGUGUACUCAAGACCGGCAGUUUCAACUGCAAUUCCGGGGUUGAGCCCCGAACUUUCACAACUGACUUAACGGCCCGCCUACGCUCCCUUUAAACCCAAUAAAUCCGGAUAACGCCCGGACCUUCCGUAUUACCGCGGCUGCUGGCAC
rnacentral:misc_RNA from 1 species